GAUGAACGCUGGCGGCGUGCCUAAUACAUGCAAGUCGAGCGAACAGAUGAGGAGCUUUCUCCUCUGACGUUAGCGGCGGACGGGUGAGUAACACGUGGAUAACCUACCUAUAAGACUGGGAUAACUUCGGGAAACCGGAGAUAAUACCGGAUAAGAUAUUGAACCGCAUGGGUCAAUAGUGAAAGACGGUUUUGCUGUCACUUAUAGAUGGAUCCGCGCCGCAUUAGCUAGUUGCUAAGGUAACGGCUUACCAAGGCAACGGUGCGUAGCCGACCUGAGAGGCUGUUUGGCCACGCUGGAACUGACGACGGAUCUGGUCACAUACGUGCGCGCGUAGUUGGAAAUGAUCGGCAUAGGCCGACAGCCUAGCGUAAUCGCGCCCCGGGCGUAAAAGAGAUCUCCGGCUCGUAAAACUGUGUAAUUAGAAAAGAAUCAAUGUGUAGGUAGAUAUGCUAGUGCUGAUGUUCCCUAAUAAUAGAGCCGCGCCUAACUCCGU
rnacentral:rRNA from 1 species